UACGAAGGGGGCUAGCGUUGCUCGGAAUCACUGGGCGUAAAGCGCACGUAGGCGGAUUGCUAAGUCAGGGGUGAAAUCCUGGAGCUCAACUCCAGAACUGCCUUUGAUACUGGCGAUCUUGAGUCCGGGAGAGGUGAGUGGAACUGCGAGUGUAGAGGUGAAAUUCGUAGAUAUCAAGCAGAACACCUGCGGCGAAGGCGGCCUUCUGGACGAUGACUGACGCUGAGACACGAAAGCGUGGGGAGCAAACAGG
rnacentral:rRNA from 1 species